AUUGAACGCUGGCGGCAUGCUUUACACAUGCAAGUCGAACGGCAACGAGGAGAAGCUUGCUUCUCUGUCGGCGAGUGGCGAACGGGUGAGUAUAGCAUCGGAACGUGCCAAGUAGUGGGGGAUAACCAAACGAAAGUUUGGCUAAUACCGCGUAAGCUCCAAGGAGGAAAGUAGGGGACCUAAAUAAGGCCUUACGCUAUUUGAUCGGCCGAUGUCGGAUUAGCUAGUUGGUGGGGUAAUGGCUCACCAAGGCAAUGAUCCGUAGCGGGUCUGAGAGGACGAUCCGCCACACUGGGACUGAGACACGGCCCAGGCUCCUACGGGAGGCAGCAGUGGGGAAUUUUGGACAAUGGGGGAAACCCUGAUCCAGCCAUGCCGCGUGUAUGAAGAAGGCCUUAGGGUUGUAAAGUACUUUUGUUAGGGAAGAAAAGCUAGUUUUUAAUAAAAAUUAGUGAUGACGGUACCUAAAGAAUAAGCACCGGCUAACUACGUG
rnacentral:rRNA from 1 species